rnacentral:rRNA from 1 species
UACGAAGGGGGCUAGCGUUGCUCGGAAUCACUGGGCGUAAAGCGCACGUAGGCGGACUCUUAAGUCAGGGGUGAAAUCCUGGAGCUCAACUCCAGAACUGCCUUUGAUACUGGGAGCCUUGAGUUCGAGAGAGGUGAGUGGAACUGCGAGUGUAGAGGUGAAAUUCGUAGAUAUUCGCAAGAACACCAGUGGCGAAGGCGGCUCACUGGCUCGAUACUGACGCUGAGGUGCGAAAGCGUGGGGAGCGAACAGG